rnacentral:rRNA from 1 species
UACGUAGGGUGCAAGCGUUGUCCGGAAUUAUUGGGCGUAAAGAGCUCGUAGGCGGUCUGUCACGUCGGCUGUGAAAACCCGAGGCUCAACCUCGGGCCUGCAGUCGAUACGGGCAAACUAGAGUACUGCAGGGGAGACUGGAAUUCCUGGUGUAGCGGUGAAAUGCGCAGAUAUCAGGAGGAACACCGGUGGCGAAGGCGGGUCUCUGGGCAGUAACUGACGCUGGAGGAGCGAAAGCGGUGGGGAGCGAAACAGG